rnacentral:rRNA from 1 species
UACAGAGGGGGCAAGCGUUGUUCGGAAUUACUGGGCGUAAAGCGUGCGCAGGCGGUCUGCUAAGAGAGGUGUGAAAUCCCCGGGCUUAACCUGGGAACUGCGCUUCUAACUGGCAGGCUUGAGUGUGGCAGAGGGGGGUGGAAUUCCACGUGUAGCAGUGAAAUGCGUAGAGAUGUGGAGGAACACCGAUGGCGAAGGCAGCCCCCUGGGCUAACACUGACGCUCAUGCACGAAAGCGUGGGGAGCAAACAGG